rnacentral:rRNA from 1 species
CGGGCUCAUAUUGAACCUAGUGAUGUAUGAGUUAGUGGCGGACGGGUGAGUAACGCGUGGAGAACCUGCCGUAUACUGGGGGAUAACACUUAGAAAUAGGUGCUAAUACCCCAUAAGCGCACAGCUUCGCAUGAAGCAGUGUGAAAAACUCCGGUGGUAUACGAUGGAUCCGCGUCUGAUUAGCUGGUUGGCGGGGUAACAGCCCACCAAGGCGACGAUCAGUAGCCGGCCUGAGAGGGUGAACGGCCACAUUGGGACUGAGACACGGCCCAAACUCCUACGGGAGGCAGCAGUGGGGAAUAUUGCACAAUGGGGGAAACCCUGAUGCAGCGACGCCGCGUGAGUGAAGAAGUAUUUCGGUAUGUAAAGCUCUAUCAGCAGGGAAGAAAUACUGACCUUACGGUCAGCAGACGGUACCUGACUAAGAAGCCCCGGCUAACUACGUGCCAGCAGCCGCGGUAAUACGUAGGGGGCAAGCGUUAUCCGGAUUUACUGGGUGUAAAGGGAGCGUAGACGGUAGCGCAAGUCUGAAGUGAAAUCCCAUGGCUUAACCAUGGAACUGCUUUGGAAACUGUGCAGCUGGAGUGCAGGAGAGGUAAGCGGAAUUCCUAGUGUAGCGGUGAAAUGCGUAGAUAUUAGGAGGAACACCAGUGGCGAAGGCGGCUUGCUGGACUGUAACUGACGUUGAGGCUCGAAAGCGUGNGGAGCAAACAGGAUUAGAUACCCUNGUAGUCCACGCCGUAAACGAUGAUUACUAGGUGUUGGGGGACCAAGGUCCUUCGGUGCCGGCGCAAACGCAUUAAGUAAUCCACCUGGG